AACCUUGCGCAGUGGCAAUAUCGUAACCAAUGAAGGUCUCCUGAGGUGCGAUUAUUGCUAGUUGAAUUAAGUAUAUUUAGGCCUUGGAAAUGAAUAUUUCCAAAACGUUGGCACGA
rnacentral:snRNA from 1 species